GACGAACGCUGGCGGCGUGCCUAAUACAUGCAAGUCGAACGAGAGCAACCGGUGCUUGCACUGGUCAAUCUAGUGGCGAACGGGUGAGUAACACGUGGGUAACCUGCCCAUCAGAGGGGGAUAACAUCCGGAAACGGAUGCUAAAACCGCAUAGGUCUUCGAACCGCAUGGUUUGAAGAGGAAAAGAGGCGCAAGCUUCUGCUGAUGGAUGGACCCGCGGUGCAUUAGCUAGUUGGUGAGGUAACGGCUCACCAAGGCCGUGAUGCAUAGCCGACCUGAGAGGGUGAUCGGCCACAUUGGGACUGAGACACGGCCCAAACUCCUACGGGAGGCAGCAGUAGGGAAUGUUCCGCAAUGGACGCAAGUCUGACGGAGCAACGCCGCGUGAGUGAAGAAGGUUUUCGGAUCGUAAAACUCUGUUGUUAGAGAAGAACAAGUGCUAGAGUAACUGUUAGCGCCUUGACGGUAUCUAACCAGAAAGCCACGGCUAACUACGUG
rnacentral:rRNA from 1 species